UUUCGAGUUUUCGUUCCUUUCUUACUUUCAUUCGUUCCUCCACCGCCGCUGAGCUCAGUGACCCACUGCCGCCGUCCGUGGCCAUUCGAGGAGUCUCUCUUCGUACUGUCGGCGUUAUCCAAGUCGAACCCCCGUUCUCUGUCUUCUUCCUCGCUCGCCGCCCAUCCUCCAUCAGAUUCGUCCUGCUCGCGAUCGUCCUGUUGCCGUCGCCGUCGCCUCGUCGCCCUCUCGCUGCUCCCUCCUCGCCAUUUUGGCUGUCGUCCCUUAUCUUCUCCUCUGAUUUUAGAUUCUGAGCUGAGUCUCUGUUCUGAGUUUGAAAUUGGAUUAUUUAUUUGAUUUGUUGAAUGUUAAACCAAACCUGUGUCGUCGUCGUCCUAGAAAGCUGUGUCGCCGUCCUAGGAAGCUGUGUCGCCGUUGUGUGGAAGCUCUGUGGCCGUCGUCGUCUCCUCUAUUGGAGCGCUCUCUCUAUAAAUGCUUUGUAAAAAUAGGUCAAUCUCUAAUGAAUCAUAGCCGAGUAUAUGUGCUUCAUUUGGUUUUGUCUGCUGCUUUUAAAUGAAUGCUGGACAGAGCAAACCCUUGUACUCCACUUAGAAAUGGUUGGUUCUAUGGUUUCAUGCAUAGACACAUCGGAUUCAGUUGGAAGUAGGCUAUUUUUAUGCUUUAGAGUGAAGAUACUACUAUGUACUUGGAUUCAGUUGUCCUUUGUAGUUUGUGGUUUGAAGUGUUUGAUUUGAUGUUAUGAAUGCUGUGAUAAUCAGUAAUCCUGUUGUAGCUUCAAA